CAUUUUAAUUGAAACCCGAAUGAAAACCAAUUGGAAAUCGAAAACACACAAAAUCAUGAUUUAGACCGAACCAAAUCAGCCCAAACCCACCCAAGCACCUUCUAGAAACCCUCCCCUCUAUUUCCAGCGCUCACGUCACUCCUCCCCUUCCCCGUUCUGCAUUAUUUUCCGACCGCCGGCGACCACCUGCGCCAUCUCUCCCUGCCGCCGCUGUCUAUCUUUUUCCAUCCCUCUCUAUCUUUCUCUUUCUGUUUCUGUCCCCGUUUCAGGCAAGCGAAGGUCAUAGCGGAGCCGCGCUCACCCAGACCGGUUCAGUCGCGACUCCGGCCACCAGGAACGGCUCGUCGAGCCCUCGUCGCGCCACCCACGCCAUCGCGCCGCCGCCAUCGUCCCUGUAGUCGCGCCGCCAGUCGUUUCUCCUCCUCCGCUCGGUCGACUGCGGCUACUCCUCAGUCCACGUUCCUCUGUCUCUGUUUGGGCGAGCGGCAACACCACCGGCAAUCUCUGCCUCGAUCACUGCUCCUCGGGACCCCAGCCACAGUCGCCGCUUGACGUCGCGCCGUCUGCUCGCAGCUCCGGUGAGCACAGCUGCCCGUUUUGGUUGACUCAGCGACUAUCCACUCGGUGCUCUUCGUUUCCGGCGAGAUUUAGUUAAAGGCCAGUUGAUAUAGUCCCUUUCCUGCAGUAGUCAGUGCGCCAGCCAACUCCGGUUGUCUCUCCGGCGCGUAUAGCCAAGCAGAUUCCGGCUGUAUUCUAUUGGGUAUAUAAAUUAACUCUGGUUAUUUUCCAGAAAUUUAAUUAAUCCCUAGCAUUUUAUGGCUAAUUAACUUAAUUUAAUUUUUAGUAUUGAUCUAUAAUAUAAGUGUUGAUUUAAUUAAAAUACUUUGAUUAAUUAAAGCUAAUUUAAAAUUAGUAUCAAAUAAAUUUAUUGAGAAAUUUUGAUAAUAAUAAUAUUAAUGGAAUUAAACGAGGAAUUUAAGAAUUGAAUGUUAAUAUUAAAGUUAAGGAGGAUGGGAAAAUUGAUUUGAUUGAUUGCCCGAUGAAUAGACUCUAUGAAUUAAGUUGAUGGAUGGACUUUGUAGAUUAAGUUAAAAUUUGAUGGAUUGUUGAUAUUUUAACGGAUGGAUAGUCCAAAUUUUAGAAGAGAUGCUGUCGAAUUUUCGGUAGAAACUAGCCUAGUUUUAGCAGUUAGAUUUGUAAAUAGAUUGCUAGAUUAAUUCCUUAAUUAUUUAUGUAAAUUAGUGUUUUAUCUGAUGUAUUUCUUUUCUUGUAUUCUUAAAAUUCUUUAAAUAGCUCGGACUCGCCUCUUACUCCUUCUGGUCAGAAUCCGAGUUAGAGCUUUAUCUUUCCUCUACCACUAUGAGUAAUAAUAAGUAGUGCAUACCAUUAUUGCAUUUGCGUAGCACUUAUUUUAUAAACAUCAUAUAUAUAUAUAUAUAUAAAUGAAACUUUAAUAUUCAUUUUGUUAUUAUUAUAAUAUUAUUAGUAUAUUAUUAUAUGUAUCUCAUAAAAAUAUUAUGUUACCGUUAACAUAUAACUUUACUUUUACGUUUACGCAUUAAGAUUGAUUUGGUACAUUACAUUGAAUGAAUUGAUUGAUUACUUGUGCUGUGAAUUUGCUAUGCUUUGUUUAUGUGGAAUUGGGAUGAAGUGGGCCAUUACGAGUUUGUGAGGACAUUGUGCGAUAUAGUCGGCCAGGUAUGGGGAGAUCGUCGCCCCUAUGUGCACCUGAUGUUAUAUGAUAUGGGAAAGUCACGGGGUGGCCACUUGAUGAUAUGAAAAAGGAAAAGAGAGUAUAUGAAAAGUGAAUAUGGGAGUGGUCAAGUGAGGAUUAGACCGGUCAGCUAGUUAUGGGGGAUUGACUCCCUGGUGCACACAUUUGAGAGGGUAGGCCAUGUGAGAGGACGGCUCGUCGGGGGGUUUUCGGUGGCGCCAUUGACUAAUUUCCACUUGCUUGAUUAUUUGAAGGUGAAAUUAUUUAUGAGUGUUGAUGUUGUGCCAUACGAUUGACUGGUUGUGUGCUCAUUUUAGUAUCUUAGGAUGCAUUUUGCGUGAAUGCCUGUGAUAUAUAUUAUUUAUUAUUAUUCACUGAAUUGUGAAACUCACUCUUCUUUUACUUAACUUGUAAGGAAGUAGAAGUCCGUCGACCGACUAAAGCUCUGCAAUCUUCUCUGCAGGGCUAUAAAAGUAAAUUUCUAAUUUCCGAAUUUAGUUAAUUUGUGUAUUGUUAUAUGUAUAACUCCAUUACUUCCAACUAUUGUUGAACUCCACAGUUGUAGAAUUUGCGUAUCUUUAAU
rnacentral:lncRNA from 1 species